CAGUCGCCGCGGGAAUACAGAGGGUGCGAGCGUUAAUCGGAUUUACUGGGCGUAAAGCGUGCGUAGGCGGCUUUUUAAGUCGGAUGUGAAAUCCCUGAGCUUAACUUAGGAAUUGCAUUCGAUACUGGGAAGCUAGAGUAUGGGAGAGGAUGGUAGAAUUCCAGGUGUAGCGGUAAAAUGCGUAGAGAUCUGGAGGAAUACCGAUGGCGAAGGCAGCCAUCUGGCCUAAUACUGACGCUGAGGUACGAAAGCAUGGGGAGCAAACAGGAUUAGAUACCCCUGUAGUCCCUGUCUCUUAUAC
rnacentral:rRNA from 1 species